UAGUUAACCACAUAAAUGUUUAAAUUACGCUUAUUUCACAAAGGUAAACUCAGUGGCAAUGACAAGAAGGCAGUUCCCUGGCAUGGGCACAGGCUGGCGGCCAGCAGUGGGCACCUCAGUGGGGGCAGCGUACUAUGUGACAUAUUUGCCGAUGAGGGUGCCAGGUUCCUGUAUCCCAGUUACUUGCCUGGAGACAGAGGCAGCUGAGAACUCUUUUCUCCUCCCCUUGUGAUCUGUCUGUGACCUGCAGCCAUCCCUCUCUUCCACCUCCCCCCCACCCAGUCCGCCCCCACGAAGGGGGACAGCUGGGCUCCAUCCCCUAUCCAUCCAGGAGCGCAGCCCGAAGGCUUUCAGUGCUGCCUGCCCGGUACUCCAAGGGGUAGCUCCUCACAGCGCGGCCAUGAUGCUCUCUCACUGGGUACUGCUGCUGUCUCUGGGAGCUGUACAGUUGGCUGAAGGAGCUGAGAUUUCUCCUGGAUCCUGCACCUUUGAGGACAGCACAUGUGCUUACACCUCAGCCUUCCCGUUUCUCCAGUGGACAGUAAACACUGAAGGUCAUUAUGUUUCUGUGGACUCAUCCAAUGGAUCACGGGGGCAGAAAGCUGUGCUGAUUAGUCCAGAUCUUCAUCUUGCAGAAUGGAGCUGCCUCAGACUGGUGUACCAAAUUGCAGGCUCAGAAUCCUCUCCAAGUCCCAGCAGCCUGAAUGUGUUUGUCAGGCCUGAGGGAGAGAGCUUUGAUUACCUGUUAUGGUCAGCAGAAGAACAUUCAGACAGCUGGCUAAUAUCAAGCAUAGAUUUAAAGAACACAACAAAAAGGUUCAAGAUCAUUCUGGAAGGUGUAUUGGGACUUGAUGCAAUGAGCAGUGUUGCUAUCUUUGAAGUGAAAAUGUCUACUGGUUAUUGCAUUGAGUGUGACUUUGAGGAAAACCAUCUUUGCGGGUACAUGAACAGUUGGAACCCAAAUGUAAACUGGUUUGUUGGAGGAGGCAAUGUCAAGAAUUCUCAUUCUAUUUUGCCAAGAGACCACACACUAAACAAUGAAUUUGGACACUACAUGUAUGUUGAUUCCGUUUAUGUCAAACAUUUUCAAGAAGUUGCCCAGCUGGUCUCUCCACUAAUUACAACACCAAUAUCAGGCUGCCUUUCUUUUUACUAUCAACUUCAGCGUGAGAGUAGUAAUAUAUUUCUGGUACAUACCAGAGAUCUGCAUGGUUCCUAUGAUGAAAUCUGGAAAAUGGGCCUUGUGAGACAAGGAGAAUGGAAUCUAGCAGAAGUUGAUCUAAAUGCGCCUGUCCCAUUAGAGGUUAUUUUUGAAGUCGCCUUUAAUGGUAUCCAAGCAGGCUAUGUUGCCUUGGAUGAUAUAUCAUUUUCCCCAGUAUCCUGCAGUGGACAGCAAGGUAUGUUCUUUGAUGCAAGAGAAGCUGGAUGUGAUUUUGAGGAAAGCAUGUGCCAUUUUCAUCAGGAUGAUAACAAUGGUUCUGGAUGGAGCAGAGUCAAAGUAAAACCCAAUGCAUACCAAAUGGGUGAUCACACAAGUGGACUUGGCUAUUUCAUGAUAGCUAAUACAAGGUUUACAGGGCAACCUGGUUACUUUGGACGGCUCUAUGGUCCUUCUUUGCCUGGAAACAUUCAGUACUGUCUUCGGUUUUUUUAUUCAUUAUAUGGCUUUUACAAAACCACUGACUCCCUGGCUGUUUACAUCUUUGAAGAGAAUCAUGUAGUCCAGGAAAAAAUCUGGUCUGCCCAUGAAACACCCAAAGGUGUCUGGCUGCAAGCUGAAAUCAGCAUACAUAAACCAAUGCCUUUCAAGGUUGUAUUUGUGAGCUGGUGUAAGAGUUUUUGGGACUGUGGCAUUGCAGCAGUUGAUGACAUAUCAGUGAGUAUGGGAAGCUGCCAAAUAUCUGACAGAAUACCACCAUUGCCUGGAAAAUGUACCUUUGAAAAAAAUGAUUGUGGAUUUCAGCAGGAAUGGCAAAGGAGAGGUAUUUGGCACAGGAUACAAGGGAGGACCCCAACAUUCUACACAGGACCAAAUGGUGACCACACCUCUGGGGUUACUACAUGUACAUCGAGGCCACAAACAUGGUGUUUGGACAGAAAGCCAGACUAAUCUCAAAACAACUUCGGGCUUUCACUGGGAAGCAGUGUUUGACAUUUUUUUACCAUAUGUAUGGGGCUGGCACUGGACUGCUAAAUGUAUAUUUGAGCAAGGAAAGUGAUAUAAAUAAGGAUACUCUUCUCUGGACAAGAAAAGGUGAACAGAGUAUCACUUGGCUGAAAGCUCAAAUAGAAUAUGAGAGUGAACAGCAACAUAAGAUUGUCUUCGAAGCUGUACGUGGCAUUUCUAUAAGAAGUGACAUCGGAAUUGAUGAUAUUAUGUUUCAGAAUGGACCUUGUAGUGAUUCUAGUGACCCUCUACAGUCAUCUGGCUAUUCAGACAACUUCAAUGAAAUUGACUUUUAGAUCAUAUGGUUUUUUAGAAGCCAUCCAACAGAACAAACAGCAUUACAGCGUUACAAUAUUCACAAGUUUACAGUUGUUUUAAACUAUAGUUGCUAGCACCACUUUGUUGAGAGUUGUAGUUUACAACAGCUGGAACACCGGGUGUUUAAUAACUGCAGUAGACACUUUAGGAACUGCACAUAAAUGUUCAUAUGGAACUCUGACACAGUUUACUGAUACUUACCACAAACUCAGAACACUCAUGUUCGUCGACAGAGAAUUCUACUCAGGGCUUUUCAAAUGUAUGUUUGCAUGGACUGUCAGUAAUACAUGUGUGCAGCAUUACAGUUGGUCACAAACUCCACUGUAUAGAUAACAAUGUAUUUUUUUAUUCUGAUUCUUUUUUUUUUUGAAGCACAGAUAACAACCCACAAAGAUUGUAAUAAAUGUUUGGAAAAUAUGUAAAUGAA